rnacentral:rRNA from 1 species
UACGUAGGGUGCAGGCGUUAAUCGGAAUUACUGGGCGUAAAGCGUGCGCAGGCGGUUUGCUAAGACAGGUGUGAAAUCCCCGGGCUUAACCUGGGAACUGCGCUUGUUACUGGCAAGCUUGAGUGUGGCAGAGGGGGGUGGAAUUCCACGUGUAGCAGUGAAAUGCGUAGAGAUGUGGAGGAACACCGAUGGCGAAGGCAGCCCCCUGGGCUAACACUGACGCUCAUGCACGAAAGCGUGGGGAGCAAACAGG